rnacentral:lncRNA from 1 species
GAAGAAGGAGGUUGAGAAGAAUGAUUAGAGCAGAAAGAGAGUGUGUGGGUAGUGGUGCUAGUAGAAAAAGAGGGGAGAAAUAAAAUAUAAUGGAUUCAGAGAAAUUGGAGGAGUAAAGAGCUUCUUGAAAGAAGGAGUGUUUAAUAAAGUCAAAUAUUAAAGAAAAUUAUGUAAGAUAAGAUAGAGAAUUAACUCUUACUUUUGAGUAUUAGAAGAUUCUGGUAAAUUUGGUAACACUCACUUUAGUGGGAAGGUGGAGGAGGAAACCAGAGUUCUAGAAGCAGAGGAAUAGUGGGAGGUGAGGAAGCUGAUCAGCAAAUAUGCUCCAUCUGGGGAAACCAUGCAAAGGAAAUAUUCCCUUACCCCAAAGACUGGCAAAAGGCCAUUAGGAUCUGUGUAUGCUACCCAAAUGUUACAAGAUGGGACAUGUCAAAGAAGGUUUGAGAGAGAGUUCAAGAAGGGAGACUGGCAAGAAAAAGACAGCUAUCGAAUACAAAUUGGGGACUUGAAUCUUUACACAUUUGAUUAGAAGAGCAUUUCAGGAAAUGGAGAUUUGUCAAAAUCCUAAUUAAAGCAAGAGAACACAAGUUCACAGACUCAGAAAAUCGGGCAACAACAUGUUAAUAUCAUGGAGCUACAUCAUUGAGGACCUGAUUUCUAAGGGAAAAAAGGAAGGAAUUUGUUGGUUGUAUUAGACCACUGUGUUAUGUGUAAAUGGGCAGAGCCAGGGGCUUGGAGGUCUAUACUUAUCAGUUACCAAACUUCAACUAGUAAGAAUGCUGAAAAUCCAGUGAAUUGGAUAUUUGAACUGAUAAUGCCUGAUUUUUUUUUUUUACAUUGAAUAAUAAUCUUUCAGUGAAAUGAAACUGGAUGGAGUGUUCAUGUGAAAUGAGGGAGAAGAGAAAUUGAGAAAUGAGAAUCAGGAGACAACUUGCAAAAAAAAAUAGGAAAGACAAAGCUAGAAAGGCCUACUUAGACACCCCAGCUAUUCCUUUAUACUUCUGAGAGAGAUAGCAUCCUAACACUAGUUUUGGGAGGAUCAUUUACCAUUGAUAAAAUAACAUUACAAUGCUACUGAUACACUCAAAACAUCAAAGUCAAAAUAAAUGACUAAAACAUACAGCUAAUUAUAUUAUAUACUUAUAUAUGUAUAUAAACCAUUAUCUACCUCUAAAACUCUUCCUGCCUAAA